rnacentral:lncRNA from 1 species
AAUUUUCUGUGGAUAUCGUAUCUACCACCACCUUCUCCUCCUCAUGUCUUCCACCUCAUAUUCACAUCCACCACCACAACAUCCACCAACACGGCAUCCACCACCACUUCCUACUUCUCGCAUCUUCCACCUCUACCUCUGUAUCCACAUCCACCACAACAGUAUCCCCAGCCACGGCAUCCACCACCACAUCCUCCUCCUCACGUCUUCCACCUCNNNNNNNNNNNNNNNCUCGGUAUUCCCAGCUUCCCAGCCUCUUCAGCCGCCGUUUUAUCUGGUGGGUUAGGCGGAGGAGGAGGAGCACCGCCGAUGAUGCUGCAGUUGGGUUCAGGCGAGGAAGGAAGUGGGUUUCACAGUCAGAUGUUUCCUUUAGGUUUGAGUCUUGAACAAGGGAAAGGACCUGGCGUUCUUAGACCUGAAGGUGGUGGUGGUCUUGGAAGUGGGAAACAGUUCAUAAAGCUCACAACUUUUUAAAAACAGAGGAAGGAGGUUCAGUACCAGUGCUUCGCUCCAGUUGUUCGCCGAACUACGUAGGGAAAGAAUAGCAGAACGGAUCAGGGCGCUUCAAGAACUUGUUCCUACUGUUAACAAGGUUGGUCUAUCUCUUAACCUUGAGCUUCACUUUGUAACUUUUGUCAUCUCUUCACAAAGGUUUAGCACUUGCUGUUUCUCUCUGCAGACAGAUAGAGCUGCUAUGAUCGAUGAGAUUGUCGAUUAUGUAAAGUUUCUCAGGCUCCAAGUUAAGGUAAUAUUAUAUUACUUGUCUCUACAUAACCAAUCUAAUAGCCUUAAUCUUGAAUCUAGAUUGAUUUUUUUUUAAUGUGCCAGAGAAUAAUAAACAAAGACUAAACUGCCCUUUUUUGUACUUUGACAUUUAGUCUCUCUUCUUUUCACUUUUUGUUUUGUUUCAUAUUGGAGGAUAAUCAUGGUUUAAGAUUAAAAUACCAUAUAUUAAAACCAUCAAGUAUAAUCAUGAUGAUCACGUUAUAAUAUAAGAUCUCUUAGAGCAAACGCUUCUUAAUAUCAAAAUGCAAUAGGUUGUUUAAAGCUCCUGUCUAACAAAAAAAAGGAAGUCUUACAUAAAAGGACACAUUGUGAGUUUUGUUUACUCUAUAAGACACAAAACAAUUUUGACACACUUUUUCUUGCCAACUGUCUUUAUUGAGACAUAAAUGACCUUGGCUAUUACUAAAGAGAAAGAUGCUUAUUUUAAGGAAGCAAACCGAAAAAGAACCAGUUACCUUGUAAUUGCAAUAAAGGAUAUAGCAAUAAAACAAAAAGUUAGAUAUAUGAGUUUAUGAGAAUAUACCGUGGACGUCAGAUCAUUUUGAAGAAAGCAGAUCCAACGAUCCGGAGAUGUGUUGAUUUGUGGAUGAGUUUUUGUGGACGAAUUCUCUUGGACAAGGUUUCUCGUAGACAAUUUGUGGAUACUAUAUAUGUGGACAAACAAAUUGGUAGACAAAAGAAGCGUUGAUAACAUGAUUUUAUCGAAUGUUAUAGGAAAUAAUUGCCUUUUUUGUCUUUCUAAGAAGAAAAUGAGAAUUGUUUAUUAACUUCUUAUAUAUUCGAUUUAGAUAUUUAUAAAUUGAAUAAAGAAGAAAAAAUUUUGUGAAUCAAUGAAUUAUGGUUCUGAUUCGUCAUUUAGUAAAAUUUCUCUAUAAAAUCGUUCAUCACUCAUCAUUAUCAUGAAACAAUGAUUAAGCUUUUCUGUGGACACAAUUCAGUGGUCGGACACACUUCUGUGGACACAAUUUAUGUGGACAUGAAAAUGUUAUAAAAUUUUCUGUGGAUAUCGUAUCUACCACCACCUUCUCCUCCUCAUGUCUUCCACCUCAUAUUCACAUCCACCACCACAACAUCCACCAACACGGCAUCCACCACCACUUCCUACUCCUCGCAUUUUCCACCUCCGUAUCCACAUCCACCACAACAGCAUCCAUAGCCACGGCAUCCACCACCACAUCCUCCUCCUCACGUCUUCCAC